rnacentral:snRNA from 1 species
AUCCAAGUGCACGGGCGUUUUCCUUCUCCGUGAAGCGAUAAGCUGAGAGAGGAAUUUUGCUAGUUGAAAACUAUACACUGACCACUCCUCGUUGGCUACGGCCGGCGAGGGAAUCUUUGGAACCCUUCCUUUCGA